CAGAGCACGACGCAACAAAAACGUCUCACCAGAUGAUGUCCAAGUCUUGUUGAAACAUUUGGCAACUUUUAAAAUUGUAGGGGGUGAGAAAGGGUGACAUGGUGUGAAGGAAUCAUAUAGAAAAACAGGAGUGCAAGCAUCUUGUUCAGGCAUCUCCUUGUCUUCCUGUUGGAACCUUGGAAAAGCUUCCCCCACCUCAAGUGCUUCUUCUAUCUACCCACUGCAGGCAUAUAUACAAACCUUUGCCCAACUGAUGGAAAAGCAGGCGUCUCAGUAUUUGUCAGGCUUGUUGCCAGUUUAAGGGCAUCAAGUAGUGCUCCAUAAUCCUACCAAAGGUUUGGACGUACUUCAAAGCAACAGAGAUUCAGAGAAUAGGACCCAAAUGGGUCAUAGGAAGAGCAAUCACUACAAGGGAAGGGGCGAGGCACCUUACGAGAAGCAAAGCCGGUGCCUGGCUCGCGCCUGCUGCCCCUGCUACGUGCUCGGCUCCGUCGUCAGAGGGAUUGGGAGGUGCCUCUUCGUGGCCUGCUACCCGAUGAUACAAUGCUGCGGCCUUGACGAAUGCAGGCACCACCACACCAGCCACCUCAGCCACUUCAGAUGAUGCAUACAUCCACCAAGUACAUCUACUACUACUUGGUCAUUAGUUCUUGUUUUCCCCUUCUUGUUCUUCACAGAAAGUAGGGUUAUUAUAGCAAUUAAUCAAGCCAAGGUCUGAAGAAGAAUUGUCCGUAUCUCCCUUACCAUAAGUAGAUAUGAAGGAAGGAUGGUCUCUCUCCGUGAGGAGAAAAUUCCUAGGAUUGAUUGGGUAUUUCUCUCCUUUUGUAUCUCUUUAUCCAAUUUCGGCCGCUUUUGUAAGCCAAGCCAACAAGGGAAGGUCCGCGUUGUUCUUCAUCUUUUUUUCAGUAGUUUUCAGUAGCCUUUAUUACCUCAGCAAUUGAUAGAAGAGUAAAGCUGAAGAAAAAUGGCCUGCUAAGCAGCUAUUGUUCUUCUGAAAGUUAUUAAUGAAGUGGUUGAUGCCAGUGUUUUCUGAUU